CAGACCUCCCGGUGCCUGAUUGGCCAGAGCUGCAGCAUUUGGCCACUGCCAGCUGAAGGAGAGGCCAGGAAGUGAGCCUCGGAGCCCCUCCAGCCUCGAGGACAGGGGCGAGAAGGGAACAAAACAAUUGCAAGGACUAGUGAUGGGAAAAUGCUAAGAUUUCAGAUCCUCAAAGGCAAUGCCGGAUCACAUCGUCUACUCUGAAUGCAUCGUCUUACACGUGAGAGAGGACCUGGCUCGUGGGUAGAGCUGCAGAAGAAUGCCUGGCCCGGAAAGCUGUUUAAAAACCAGAAAGGAAAGAAAAGAGAAAAGCUCCUGCAUCACCAAGGAAUCCCUGGGCAACAUUCUGGAAUUGAUCUACACUGGUUCAAAUUUCACGCAUCCCCCCAUCUUCCACGCUGACUCUCCCACCCUUCUUUUGAUCGAGUUGUAACUUGGAGAAAAUGCCCCGUCCAGGGCACGCAACUGGGCAUAAUUGCAUAGAGGAAAACAAGCUGGCCAUGAGUUUCCAGGCAAGGACUUGUCAAGUGAACAUUCCUCCCGGAGAAGUAACUGGCCACGGAGCGAAGAAGCGUGGGAACAGAGGCCCAACUUUCUCGUCUGUGUGAGAGGGAUGACAGUCCCCACGCCACACGCCUUCCGAUGAAGUUGGUCUGAGGAAGGAG
rnacentral:lncRNA from 12 species